AUUCAACACAUUCUAUCAUUCUAAACGGACUGAAACUCAAUGAUCCGCAUAACAAAACACACAUACAUCUGCAUAAACUUGCCAAAGAAAAAUGAAUGAAAACUUAGGCAUAAGUUCCGGCCAAUAAUUAUAUACAAAACCAAAAUAUAUGUGUGUGCGCAUGUUUGAGUGUUUGUGUUUGUGUAGUAUGAGAGAGAGAGAGAGAGAGAGAGAGAGAGAGAGAGAGAGAGAGAGAGAGAGAGAGAGAGACUAAUAAAAUAUGUAUAUGUUGAUAACUUUGCUACACAUCUAUCUUGUAUCCCAUCCUCAUCUUUGCAACUCUUUUGUAUUGAUUGAGGUGCAAUGGCCACCAAUACACCAACCACGGGCAAAAUGCAUAAAAAAAUGAUGAAAACUCAAGCAAAGCAUCACAAAUCAGAAUUUUUUUCCCACAAAAAAGGAAAAUAAAAACGCUGCUAUAACACCACUACAGCUUUGUGUGGAAAAAAUAAAAAAGAAAAAAAGAGCCAAUUGUAAUCUUUUCUCAAAAAGAAAAAAUAAUAACAUCAAAAAACUAAAACUUCGCUGCAACUUUUUGGAACUGUGGGAAAAAAAUAGGAAAGAUCUUAAAAGUUCAACUUUAAACAUUGAUAUGUGCGUGUGGAUGAAAGUGAACCGGUGGGAAAAACUUCUUAAAAUUAAUAUAUUUUGCAAAUAAUUCUCUUGAAAAACCGUAUACAAAUAUUCAAUCAUUUUUCUCGAAAUGCAGAUGAAAAAUGUAGCAAACCCCUAAAUAAACGAUCCUGAAGGGACUACUUUUCCAAAACCAUAAAAAACGGCCAAGAUAAAUAAAUGAGACGCACACUGUGAAAUAUAAAAAAAUACCAAACACUUGAUGAACUUGAAGAAAUCAAUAAACUACCAAUUAUUUUAAAGAGUUUUUACUUGAUAUAGAGUAAGAAUUUAGAGAUAAACAAUGACACAUAGAUAGCUUACGUAACAAAUUGGGAAGACUAAGGGUAGAAAACAGGUUUUCUUCAAUGAUGUUCGUCAGCACAUUCAAUCCUACCUACGGAAAAGAAAAGAUAUUGUUUGAAAACAUACGGAAUUCGUCAGUAUAAAUUACAACAAUCUAUCAACCUGGACAGCUCUGAGUGACGGCGUGGCCUCUUGCAACAACGACGAUACUGCAGGCUGCAUUGAGAUAGACCUACCAAAACUUCGUCAGUUAACACAUGAAGAAAAAAAUAAUAAAUUGCUAAUUUUCCAAGUAAGAGAAGACCUCUUGCAACAACGACGAUACUGCAGGCUGCAUUGAGAUAGACCUACCAAAACUUCGUCAGUUAACACAUGAAGAAAAAAAUAAUAAAUUGCUAAUUUUCCAAGUAAGAGAAGAUGGUAUGCGUCAUCAGUAGGGAGAUAGUGAGAUGAACAAACAUAAAAAAUAAAAGUCGUUUUCUAUAUU
rnacentral:lncRNA from 1 species